rnacentral:rRNA from 1 species
UACGUAGGGUGCGAGCGUUGUCCGGAAUUAUUGGGCGUAAAGAGCUCGUAGGCGGCUUGUCGCGUCGGAUGUGAAAGCCCGGGGCUUAACUCCGGGUCUGCAUUCGAUACGGGCAGGCUAGAGUUCGGUAGGGGAGAUCGGAAUUCCUGGUGUAGCGGUGAAAUGCGCAGAUAUCAGGAGGAACACCGGUGGCGAAGGCGGAUCUCUGGGCCGAUACUGGCGCUGAGGAGCGAAAGCGUGGGGAGCGAACAGG